GGGUUGUGAGGUUAAGCGACUAAGCGUACACGGUGGAUGCCCUGGCAGUCAGAGGCGAUGAAGGACGUGCUAAUCUGCGAUAAGCGUCGGUAAGGUGAUAUGAACCGUUAUAACCGGCGAUUUCCGAAUGGGGAAACCCAGUGUGAUUCGUCACACUAUCAUUAACUGAAUCCAUAGGUUAAUGAGGCGAACCGGGGGAACUGAAACAUCUAAGUACCCCGAGGAAAAGAAAUCAACCGAGAUUCCCCCAGUAGCGGCGAGCGAACGGGGAGCAGCCCAGAGCCUGAAUCAGUGUGUGUGUUAGUGGAAGCGUCUGGAAAGGCGUGCGAUACAGGGUGACAGCCCCGUACACAAAAAUGCACAUACUGUGAGCUCGAUGAGUAGGGCGGGACACGUGGUAUCCUGUCUGAAUAUGGGGGGACCAUCCUCCAAGGCUAAAUACUCCUGACUGACCGAUAGUGAACCAGUACCGUGAGGGAAAGGCGAAAAGAACCCCGGCGAGGGGAGUGAAAAAGAACCUGAAACCGUGUACGUACAAGCAGUGGGAGCACGCUUAGGCGUGUGACUGCGUACCUUUUGUAUAAUGGGUCAGCGACUUAUAUUCUGUAGCAAGGUUAACCGAAUAGGGGAGCCGAAGGGAAACCGAGUCUUAACUGGGCGUUAAGUUGCAGGGUAUAGACCCGAAACCCGGUGAUCUAGCCAUGGGCAGGUUGAAGGUUGGGUAACACUAACUGGAGGACCGAACCGACUAAUGUUGAAAAAUUAGCGGAUGACUUGUGGCUGGGGGUGAAAGGCCAAUCAAACCGGGAGAUAGCUGGUUCUCCCCGAAAGCUAUUUAGGUAGCGCCUCGUGAAUUCAUCUCCGGGGGUAGAGCACUGUUUCGGCAAGGGGGUCAUCCCGACUUACCAACCCGAUGCAAACUGCGAAUACCGGAGAAUGUUAUCACGGGAGACACACGGCGGGUGCUAACGUCCGUCGUGAAGAGGGAAACAACCCAGACCGCCAGCUAAGGUCCCAAAGUCAUGGUUAAGUGGGAAACGAUGUGGGAAGGCCCAGACAGCCAGGAUGUUGGCUUAGAAGCAGCCAUCAUUUAAAGAAAGCGUAAUAGCUCACUGGUCGAGUCGGCCUGCGCGGAAGAUGUAACGGGGCUAAACCAUGCACCGAAGCUGCGGCAGCGACGCUUAUGCGUUGUUGGGUAGGGGAGCGUUCUGUAAGCCUGCGAAGGUGUGCUGUGAGGCAUGCUGGAGGUAUCAGAAGUGCGAAUGCUGACAUAAGUAACGAUAAAGCGGGUGAAAAGCCCGCUCGCCGGAAGACCAAGGGUUCCUGUCCAACGUUAAUCGGGGCAGGGUGAGUCGACCCCUAAGGCGAGGCCGAAAGGCGUAGUCGAUGGGAAACAGGUUAAUAUUCCUGUACUUGGUGUUACUGCGAAGGGGGGACGGAGAAGGCUAUGUUGGCCGGGCGACGGUUGUCCCGGUUUAAGCGUGUAGGCUGGUUUUCCAGGCAAAUCCGGAAAACUAAGGCUGAGGCGUGAUGACGAGGCACUACGGUGCUGAAGCAACAAAUGCCCUGCUUCCAGGAAAAGCCUCUAAGCAUCAGGUAACAUCAAAUCGUACCCCAAACCGACACAGGUGGUCAGGUAGAGAAUACCAAGGCGCUUGAGAGAACUCGGGUGAAGGAACUAGGCAAAAUGGUGCCGUAACUUCGGGAGAAGGCACGCUGAUAUGUAGGUGAAGUCCCUCGCGGAUGGAGCUGAAAUCAGUCGAAGAUACCAGCUGGCUGCAACUGUUUAUUAAAAACACAGCACUGUGCAAACACGAAAGUGGACGUAUACGGUGUGACGCCUGCCCGGUGCCGGAAGGUUAAUUGAUGGGGUUAGCGCAAGCGAAGCUCUUGAUCGAAGCCCCGGUAAACGGCGGCCGUAACUAUAACGGUCCUAAGGUAGCGAAAUUCCUUGUCGGGUAAGUUCCGACCUGCACGAAUGGCGUAAUGAUGGCCAGGCUGUCUCCACCCGAGACUCAGUGAAAUUGAACUCGCUGUGAAGAUGCAGUGUACCCGCGGCAAGACGGAAAGACCCCGUGAACCUUUACUAUAGCUUGACACUGAACAUUGAGCCUUGAUGUGUAGGAUAGGUGGGAGGCUUUGAAGUGUGGACGCCAGUCUGCAUGGAGCCGACCUUGAAAUACCACCCUUUAAUGUUUGAUGUUCUAACGUUGACCCGUGAUCCGGGUUGCGGACAGUGUCUGGUGGGUAGUUUGACUGGGGCGGUCUCCUCCUAAAGAGUAACGGAGGAGCACGAAGGUUGGCUAAUCCUGGUCGGACAUCAGGAGGUUAGUGCAAUGGCAUAAGCCAGCUUGACUGCGAGCGUGACGGCGCGAGCAGGUGCGAAAGCAGGUCAUAGUGAUCCGGUGGUUCUGAAUGGAAGGGCCAUCGCUCAACGGAUAAAAGGUACUCCGGGGAUAACAGGCUGAUACCGCCCAAGAGUUCAUAUCGACGGCGGUGUUUGGCACCUCGAUGUCGGCUCAUCACAUCCUGGGGCUGAAGUAGGUCCCAAGGGUAUGGCUGUUCGCCAUUUAAAGUGGUACGCGAGCUGGGUUUAGAACGUCGUGAGACAGUUCGGUCCCUAUCUGCCGUGGGCGCUGGAGAACUGAGGGGGGCUGCUCCUAGUACGAGAGGACCGGAGUGGACGCAUCACUGGUGUUCGGGUUGUCAUGCCAAUGGCACUGCCCGGUAGCUAAAUGCGGAAGAGAUAAGUGCUGAAAGCAUCUAAGCACGAAACUUGCCCCGAGAUGAGUUCUCCCUGACUCCUUGAGAGUCCUGAAGGAACGUUGAAGACGACGACGUUGAUAGGCCGGGUGUGUAAGCGCAGCGAUGCGUUGAGCUAACCGGUACUAAUGAACCGUGAGGCUUAACCUUACAACGCCGAAG
rnacentral:rRNA from 1 species